GUUCUAGGCCAUGGUAUGAGCAUACUCUUUAUAUCUCUCCCAAGCUUCGAAAAGCGAUUCUCCUUGGUUUUGAGUAAAUCUAGUUAUUUGGUUUCGAAGAAC